AGAGUUUGAUCCUGGCUCAGGAUAAACGCUGGCGGCGUGCAUUAGGCAUGCAAGUGGAACGAUCCGACUUCGGUCGGAGAGUCGCGAACGGCUGAGUAUAAAAUAGGUAUCUACCUUUUGGCGUGGAAUAGCCCGGGGAAACUCGGAGUAAUACCGCAUAAGACCGCAAGGUGAAAGCGCUUAACUGCGCACCGAAAGAGGAGCCUAUUCCCCAUCAGCUAGAUGGUGUGGUAACGGCGCACCAUGGCUACGACGGGUAGGGGGCGUGAGAGCGCGUACCCCCAGAAUGGGACUGAGACACGGCCCAUACACCUACGGGUGGCAGCAACCGGGAAUCGUGCGCAAUGGACGCAAGUCUGACGCCGCGACGCCGCGUGGAGGAUGAAGGCCUUCGGGUCGUAAACUCCUUUUGCCAUAUCAGAGAUGAUAUGGAGAAUAAGCACCCGCUAACUUCGUGCCAGCAGCUGCGGUAAUACGGAGGGUGCAAGCGUUGUCCGGAUUUACUGGGCGUAAAGCGUUUCGCAGGUCGUUGUGUAAGUCGUGCUUCAAAGCCUGGGGCUUAACCCCAGACAGGGGUGCGAUACUGCAUGACUUGAAGAAUAUCGGGGUUACUGGAACUGUCGGUGUAGGGGUGAAAUCCGUUGAUAUCGACAGGAACUCCAAGGGCGAAGGCAGGUAACUAGGUAUUUCUUGACACUCAGGAACGAAAGCUAGGGUAGCGAAAGGGAUUAGAGACCCCUGUAGUCCUAGCCGUAAACUAUGCUCGCUAGCUCUCGGGUUUUUUAACUCGUGGGCGUAAGCUAACGCGUGAAGCGAGCCGCCUGGGGAGUACGGUCGCAAGACUAAAACUCAAAGGAAUUGACGGGGACCCGCACAACCAGUGGAGCAUGUGGUUUAAUUCGAGACGAACCGAAGAACCUUACCCAGAUUUGACAUGUUACCGUUUAGGAAUCUAGAGAUAGAAUCUGAUCUUGCAAUUUGUAAGAUGGUAACACAGGUGUUGCAUGGCUAUCGUCAGCUCGUGCCGUGGGGUGUUCCCUUAAGUGGGGUAACGAGCGCAACCCUUGCCGUAUGUUGAAUAUUCAUACGGGACUAUUGAUCUUUGUAUCAGAGGAAGCGGGGAUGACGCUAAGUCAGCAUGGCCCUUAUAUCUGGGGCUACACACAUGCUACAAUGAGGCCGACAAUGGGUUGCCAAGCCGUAAGGCGGAGCUAAUCCCAUCAAACGGCCUCUCAGUGGGGAUUGAGGGCUGCAAUUUGCCCUCAUGAACGUGGAAUUGGUAGUAAUCGGAGGUCAGCCAAACUCCGGUGAAUACGUUCUCGGGUCUUGUACACACCGCCCGUCAAGGCAGCAAAGUUGGGGGCACCCGAACCUCUAGUGAUAGGGGGAAGGUGAAUUCAGCGAUGAGGCUUAAGUCGUAACAAGGUAACC
rnacentral:rRNA from 1 species